GACGAACGCUGGCGGCGUGCCUAACACAUGCAAGUCGAACGAGAAUCUUUGAACAGAUCUUUUCGGAGUGACGUUUAAAGAGGAAAGUGGCGGACGGGCGAGUAACGCGUGAGUAACCUGCCCAUAAGAGGGGGAUAAUCCAUGGAAACGUGGACUAAUACCGCAUAUUGUAGUCAAGUCGCAUGACUAGAUUAUGAAAGAUCUAUCGCUUAUGGAUGGACUCGCGUCAGAUUAGAUAGUUGGUGAGGUAACGGCUCACCAAGUCAACGAUCUGUAGCCGAACUGAGAGGUUGAUCGGCCGCAUUGGGACUGAGACACGGCCCAGACUCCUACGGGAGGCAGCAGUGGGGAAUAUUGCGCAAUGGGGGCAACCCUGACGCAGCAACGCCGCGUGCAGGAAGAAGGUCUUCGGAUUGUAAACUGUUGUCGCAGGGGAAGAAGACAGUGACGG
rnacentral:rRNA from 1 species